rnacentral:rRNA from 1 species
CCCUACGGGGGGCUGCAGUGGGGAAUUUUGGACAAUGGGCGCAAGCCUGAUCCAGCCAUGCCGCGUGAGUGAAGAAGGCCUUCGGGUUGUAAAGCUCUUUCGGCCGGGAAGAAAUCGGCGACUCUAACAUAGUCGCUGGAUGACGGUACCGGACUAAGAAGCACCGGCUAACUACGUGCCAGCAGCCGCGGUAAUACGUAGGGUGCGAGCGUUAAUCGGAAUUACUGGGCGUAAAGCGUGCGCAGGCGGUUUUGUAAGACAGAUGUGAAAUCCCCGGGCUUAACCUGGGAACUGCGUUUGUGACUGCAAGGCUAGAGUACGGCAGAGGGGGGUGGAAUUCCUGGUGUAGCAGUGAAAUGCGUAGAGAUCAGGAGGAACACCGAUGGCGAAGGCAGCCCCCUGGGCCUGUACUGACGCUCAUGCACGAAAGCGUGGGGAGCAAACAGGAUUAGAUACCCGAGUAGUC